GUUUUAAAACAUGUUAAUGAAUUUAAGAAACUGUGACUGAACUAGCUCACGCAGGGAAAAGAUAUUUCUGGCCAACAACAGUCAACACAGCCGCUAGCAUGUUACGCUGUUUGGGUGCAUUUAAACUGCAGGACCGAGUUGUUGAAGGUUGGAUGUUGAGCCUCUUAAUUAUUAACAACUAAAUUAUUAUAAGUGUUAGCUAAAUGCACCUUCCGUUGUAUUAUUUAAUAAACGGUAAUUUAACGGUAACAGCGUGUCGAUGUUAGUUAUUCCCCAGCAACCAACUUGUGUGUUAGCAAUGGUUAGCUAAGUGACUUUGGUUAGCAUAAUACAUAAUACUUUUAAUAAGCAUAUAAACUGUGUACAUACUUCGGAUUUUGGGAUGAUAAUUUUGAGUUUAAUUACUCCGAUGUAAACUCUGGGAAAGCCAUCGUUAUCCAGCAAGUAAAAGCACCAACGGAAGUCCCCCUGGUUUAUGGUCCAACCGGAAACAGAGUUGUGGUGUCUUUGGUUCCGCACACAAUCCGAUCAUGAGUGCAGCAGAAUCAGAAUCAGUUUUAUUGCCAGGGCUGUUUUAAAUAAACCAAAGACGGAGCAGGCUGUGACAUCAAGAAAGAAGACGACAAGGAUUCAUCACGCCCAGCCAGCUUGUGAAAGUGACAAGGCCGCAUGUCCAUUGUGGGAUAUUUCCAACUGGCUAAAUGAAACACAAAAAUAAUUUCCACAAAUAAAGAAAGAGGAGGAUGUGGACUCUUUUACCCGGACCGGCUUUGUUACUGAAGGAAGAUCAUGAGGAUCAUUACAACAUCUUGAAGCUUGCUGCUGGCUGCCGGACUCCCGCUGCUCCUCCGCUGUAUUCUUUUUCUGGAUUUCACUGUAGAACACAACAAGAGUAAAUGGCAGGUGGUAGUUGCAGGGCACGUCGUUCCACUGGCCAUUCUCAUGCCAGAUCAUCACUACACAGUCUUCUCUAGAGCUUUUAUUAUCUGG